UAGAAAAACAGUAAGAAAAUUUAAAAUAAAAGCUUGUUUAGGUAUUUCUAGAACAAAUAUUAAAGGCGUACCAUUGCAUUAAAUGUGAGUACAUGCCUCUAUGUUGUACACAUGUUGAUAUCUUGCGCAGGUAGCUAACUAUAAUUUAUAUAAAUAAUAUUGAUAAGUUAAAAACGCUCCAGGGAAUUAUCACUUCCUGGUGUAAAAUAUCCACAUUUUAUUUUAAAAAAGGACUAGAAUAUGUAAAGACAUAUUUAUUUCUUGUGGAUUUUGCAAUUGAUAGGAUAACAUAUACAGGUAAUUGAUCUGACACUCAACGAAAGCGAGAAAAUAGAAACAAAUACAAGAUCUGAACAACGCAUACAGACAGUGACCCUGUGUGGCAUUCCAUACAUAAUGCAUUUAACGAAGGGAACCUGUUUCUGAGAUGCUUAUCUGAUGUUUUUAUUUUUGAUUUCCACCGGCAAAGGACCAUUUAUAAUAGAAAAUUUACAACUUUAUAUAAAUCUGCCAAACGGUAGAAAGUGUACUAUACCCAAAAGAAUGAAAAAAACGACACUAAAACUUCCAUCAAAAUUAUACGAAAUAAAAUACGCGUAUGUUGAUGAAGUACAAUUCGUACCAAAAUCAUGUACUAUCCAUAAUGUGUUUCAAUCAUUGCUUCAUGUUUGGCGCAUAGUAAAUGUUUUAUUGGAUCAACGGUCUACAAAAUUUUAAACUCUAAAUAUUCGAGGUCUGACUCCAUAUCAUUCGUGUUUGGGUGAGCUGAACCUCCCAUCUGUUGAAGUAUGGUAUUCAGUUCUUCCUCGACAAAGUCGUCGCCAUAUUGAGGGUUCCGCCGCAGUUGAAAUAAACGAAGCCGCACCCCCGGAAAAUCCUGUAUCCCCCACGUUGCAGCAAAAUUCAUAAGUUCGUAUUCAUCGGCCAAAGAAUUCACAAUAUUUUUCAUAAACCCUGUUCAAAAUAAAAUUAUACAACUAGGUAUUACAUAGUCUAAAUUUUCAAACUGAGACUGUCAUUUAUUCUUUAGUAGCAUGACGUUAAUACAAAAUGAAAGGUUCCUUACCUUAUACAUUCUUAGAUCCAAACGGUGAGCAAUGACUUAAAAUCAAAUGUAACCCGUUAUAUACUGUACAAAAAAUGCCGUUAAAAUGUCCAUGUGGGAUAUUAAACUAACGCACUGACAUUUAUAAUCGUUUUAUAUUAGGACAGCUGACAUCAUAUAGAUUACAUUCUCAUUUAUAUUUAGGACAUUAAUAUAGAUUUAUUAGACAAUUUGAACGCAUUUCAAAAUGGAGCUGACUGAAUGACGUCACGCUUGUACAUCCCAUUCCUGUCAUUAAUGGAGGUUUAAUUACUAUUUAAAAAUACGGCCGAUUUCAGCUUCAUUUUGAUACAGGACGUUUCCUUUCCUUUACAUGCAAGAUGGCCGCCGCGCAUUACGUGUGUAAAUGACAUAUAUUGUUACGAUUAUGUAACCCGUACUGUAAAGAGACAUGAAUACUACUUACAACCACAAUUUGACUAUGCCUUUUUCUGAGUACAAUGUUUCAGAAACCGGUGGUUGAAUAUUGAAUUUGACGUUUGAAGCAACCUUAUGAAAAUGACAUUAAGAACUGUCAAAUAUUUCAUUUAGUAUUUCUCAAGACUGUUUCUUUAUUUAUUUAAUCCUUAUACUUAAAGUUCAUAUGCGUAUAUAAAACAAUUUAGCUGAUAAUUCUGAAAGAGGAUAACUAUUACAUUUAUAAUAAACUAAUCUCCUUCGCAGUGGUCUCCCUUUACGGUGGAGUAAAUCCGUUGUUUCUUUUUUCAUUUUUAACUUUAAAUAUUGUUGUCAUCCAUAAGUAUUUCCAAAGACAAGCAAGGCAAAUACUUGAAAAAAAUGAAGAAUUUAAUCUAAAAUGAAACAAUAUGAGCACCGCUGUACGAAAAUGAAUGCAAGCGCUUUGCGGCCGGUAUGGAUCCAGACUAAGCUGCAGAUCCGUGCAGUCUGAUUAGGAUCCACACUGUUCACUUAUCAGCUGCAUACAAGUGCUGAAAUUGAUAAAGGAGAUAGGCGGACAGUAUGGAUGCACUGAUCUGAAUCCUUGCUGGUGACAAAGCCUUAAAAUUUGGUUUCGCACAGCGGCGCUAAAAUACAGCGGUCUCGAGGAUGCAAUGCUGCAGACAAAUUGAAAGUCUUGUUUUUGAAGUUUAUAGUCGUGUUGUAGUAUACACAAUAUGCAUAGAGCUUUAAGCUAAUGAAUACAUGUUAAUACAAAUAUAUCAGCUCUUUAAACUCAUGUGAACUUGAAAUAAUCAUUUAACCUUGCAACAUAAUCUAUUUUUGUUAUUUUGUAAGAUAUUUUCAGUGUCUUAUCACAAUUUGAAUUAGAACGAGUUUUACUGUAAGCUUAAAAUGCUGUCUUUAAGCAACAAAACUUGUUUUUUAUGUAAUAAGACGAUAAUGAUUUAAAAUGGAUUCGUAAAACUGUUGUACAAAAUGUAAAUAUUGAAUUUCCGUCACCGUGAUAAUGUUUAUUUGUUUAUUGAACGUAAACUCAAUGUUUAAACAUAUUUUAUUGCCAAUAUAUACAUAUAUAAACAGAUAACUACGUCAGUUGUACAUAUAAUAGGCAAAAGGGUCGACCCACAAGUUCUCGCAACAUUAGUGACGGGUCUUCCCUAAUGCAAAUAUUUACAUAUUUAACUUACGACAAUGACAACUAAUCAGGUACAUGUGUGGUAAAUAAUAAAUUUACAAUAUAAUAGCUACAAAAAAAUGGAAAGAAAAAAAAAAGAGUUGAAAUAAGUAUGAGGUACAAGUACAUGUGUACUUAUAAAAGCAAUCACAUUUGUGACUAGUGGCAAUGUAUAGAUAGUAAACUCAAUGGUUUUCAUAAAUAAUUCCGCGUAAUAAGGCAGAAGUCUGCAUGUUCCACGGACUGGUUUGUUUAACUGAAUUUUGAUGACUUUUUUCAAAAUAUGAUAGCUAUCUUUUAUAUUUCAUUUAUUUAGGCUAGCGUGUCCAAUUUUACCUCGCCAAUGUUUUGAGACACUGCUUUGGAUGCAAGAUUUGAUUUUUUACGUUAAGAAGUUAUUCCGCUGGUUUGUGGAAGAUUAAUGGUUCUACCAAAAAUGCGCACUCGUGCUUGAAAAAAAUGCUUGUACUUUGUGGAGGCAAGUGUGGCCUUCCUCCACUAUCAAAACCUGAAAAUUACCAUAUCAUCUACUUUUGACGAAGUAACUUAUAAAGCAGCGUUUUCUUAUUAAUAUACCCUGUAAUACUUUGAAAUUAGUUGCCUACCACAAUAAUUUCGCUACAAAGUAAAACUAAACAACGACAAAAAUGAAUGAAUCCCACAAUAGUCAAGCAAUACAAAGAUAUAAAUCAUUUAUUUAUAACAAUAUGACCAAUAUUUAUAUUGCUUUAAGGACAGUCCAAAAUGAUUGUUUUUGAUGACAGCAAUUUUAAGACAUGUAUAUUUCGUUAUUAUCUAAACUAUUAUAAUAUCAACGGCAUUUGAUUCAAUUUUGUAACCCAUGCACCUGACUUAUUUAUUAUUUGUCUAUUUUGUACUAAAGGUGUUUCAAGGAGUCGGCAAUCUUGUUUGAUUGUUUAGGACGCCCAAAUAUGCGGAACUGUGUCCAAAAAAUAAAACUUUAAACACAAAAAGCCUUCAUAGCUGACUAUGACAUUUUCUGAGUUCACUUUCAUGAGAAAGUUUGUGAUUGAAUAAUAAACUUUAAAAUUUUACCAUGACAUUUUCAACGUUCAACCUCUUUAGAACCUGUGUGAUUGAAUAUUAUUUAUAACUAGUAUUUAAAACAGAAACUUUCCCAAGACAUUAUCCAAGUUCAACGUCUUUAGAUUAAAAGUAAUUAAAUCAGGAAAUUAACAUUCACAACUACAAUUUGACUAUGCCAUUUUCUGAGUUCAAUGUUUCACACAACUGUGGCUGAA
rnacentral:lncRNA from 1 species